GUCCACGCCCUAAACGAUGUCAACUGGUUGUUGGGAAUUCACUUUCUCAGUAACGAAGCUAACGCGUGAAGUUGACCGCCUGGGGAGUACGGCCGCAAGGUUAAAACUCAAAGGAAUUGACGGGGACCCGCACAAGCGGUGGAUGAUGUGGUUUAAUUCGAUGCAACGCGAAAAACCUUACCCACCUUUGACAUGUACGGAACCUUUUAGAGAUAGAGGGGUGCUCGAAAGAGAACCGUAACACAGGUGCUGCAUGGCUGUCGU
rnacentral:rRNA from 1 species